AGUCGGCCCCGCAAGGGACUGACUUAGUGGCGAACGGGUGAGUAACGCGUGAGCAACCUGCCUUUCAGAGGGGGAUAACGGCUGGAAACGGUCGCUAAUACCGCAUGACGUGUUCGGAUGGCAUCAUCUGAACAUCAAAGAUUUAUCGCUGAAAGAUGGGCUCGCGUCUGAUUAGAUAGUUGGUGGGGUAACGGCCUACCAAGGCGACGAUCAGUAGCCGACCUGAGAGGGUGACCGGCCACAUUGGGACUGAGACACGGCCCAAACUCC
rnacentral:rRNA from 1 species